GGCCAAUGAUGCAUAGAUGUAUUGUCCGUACCAUCUGAGAGUCUUUUUUUCAAAGACUCCAUUGAUGAGUAAUCUAUCUUUACCUUUCUGAGGCUU